UCGGAUUGUAGGCUGAAACUCGCCUACAUGAAGCUGGAGUUACUAGUAAUCGCAGAUCAGAAUGCUGCGGUGAAUGCGUUCCCGGGUCUUGUACACACCGCCCGUCACACCACGGAAGUUGGGGGCGCCCGAAGCCACUUAGCUAACCCUUUUGGGAAGCGAGUGUCGAAGGUGAAAUCAAUAACUGGGGUGAAGUCGUAACAAGGUAGC
rnacentral:rRNA from 1 species